rnacentral:rRNA from 1 species
GAUGAACGCUGGCGGCGUGCUUAACACAUGCAAGUCGAACGGAAAGGCUCCUGCUUGCAGGGGUACUCGAGUGGCGAACGGGUGAGUAACACGUGGGUGAUCUGCCCUGCACUUCGGGAUAAGCCUGGGAAACUGGGUCUAAUACCGGAUAGGACGAUGGUUUGGAUGCCAUUGUGGAAAGUUUUUUCGGUGUGGGAUGAGCUCGCGGCCUAUCAGCUUGUUGGUGGGGUAAUGGCCUACCAAGGCGUCGACGGGUAGCCGGCCUGAGAGGGCGUACGGCCACAUUGGGACUGAGAUACGGCCCAGACUCCUACGGGAGGCAGCAGUGGGGAAUAUUGCACAAUGGGCGCAAGCCUGAUGCAGCGACGCCGCGUGGGGGAUGACGGCCUUCGGGUUGUAAACUCCUUUCGCUAGGGACGAAGCGCAAGUGACGGUACCUGGAGAAGAAGCACCGGCUAACUACGUG